rnacentral:rRNA from 1 species
UACGUAGGGGGCAAGCGUUGUCCGGAAUUAUUGGGCGUAAAGAGCUCGUAGGCGGCUUGUCACGUCGAUUGUGAAAGCCCGAGGCUUAACCUCGGGUCUGCAGUCGAUACGGGCUAGCUAGAGUGUGGUAGGGGAGAUCGGAAUUCCUGGUGUAGCGGUGAAAAUGCGCAGAUAUCAGGAGGAACACCGGUGGCGAAGGCGGAUCUCUGGGCCAUUACUGACGCUGAGGAGCGAAAGCGUGGGGAGCGAACAGG